UACGUAGGGUCCGAGCGUUGUCCGGAAUUACUGGGCGUAAAGAGCUCGUAGGUGGUUUGUCGCGUUGUCCGUGAAAACUCACAGCUCAACUGUGGGCGUGCGGGCGAUACGGGCAGACUGGAGUACUGCAGGGGAGACUGGAAUUCCUGGUGUAGCGGUGAAAUGCGCAGAUAUCAGGAAGAACACCCGUGGCGAAGGCGGCUCUCUGGGACGGUACUGACGCUGAGACGCGAAAGCGUGGGGAGCGAACAGG
rnacentral:rRNA from 1 species